rnacentral:rRNA from 1 species
GAUGAACGCUGGCGGCGUGCCUAAUACAUGCAAGUCGAGCGAACAGACGAGGAGCUUGCUCCUCUGACGUUAGCGGCGGACGGGUGAGUAACACGUGGAUAACCUACCUAUAAGACUGGGAUAACUUCGGGAAACCGGAGCUAAUACCGGAUAACAUGUUGAACCGCAUGGUUCAACAGUGAAAGACGGUUUUGCUGUCACUUAUGGAUGGAUCCGCGCCGCAUUAGCUAGUUGGUAAGGUAACGGCUUACCAAGGCAACGAUGCGUAGCCGACCUGAGAGGGUGAUCGGCCACACUGGAACUGAGACACGGUCCAGACUCCUACGGGAGGCAGCAGUAGGGAAUCUUCCGCAAUGGGCGAAAGCCUGACGGAGCAACGCCGCGUGAGUGAAGAAGGUCUUCGGAUCGUAAAACUCUGUUAUUAGGGAAGAACAAAUGUGUAAGUAACUAUGCACGUCUUGACGGUACCUAAUCAGAAAGCCACGGCUAACUACGUG